CUCUCUCUCUCUCUCUCUCUCUCUCUCUCUCUCUCUCUCUCUCUGCAUUCCUGGAAAUCUAUUAUGUUUCCAGAAUUAUAUUUCUACCACCUUGGAUAUUACUCUUCAAUAUCUUUUUGAGUUCAUAAAAGUCUACUUACUUCGAGAAUAUACGUUGGAGACAUCACCGAGAUGACAUUUAAUGGUCGUUAUGUAAUUGUAAUGAUGGCAUUGCUCUCAAUAUUCAUAUGGUUCAUCUAUAAUGAACUCUUUAUGGUCCCUUAUAAUAUCUUCGGCCCUUCUGCAUAUACAUGUCAUAAUGCAGCAUGCAGUGAAAUUUUCACAGUGGGCUCAACUAAGGUGCGUCGUACUUACUAUUUUAUUCCUUUUAUUCAAAUUAUAAUUGUUAUUUAAUCAAUUAUGGACUUACAACCUCUUGGAGUAUCUCACUUUAAUUAAAUUGGGUUUAAUAAGGUUAUAAAGUAUGGCCCUAAUGAUUAAGAUUGAAUGUAUUUGUGUACUCUUUGGUAAAAAUAAACUUACUUCAUAUGUAACCACUUUGAAAUAU